rnacentral:tRNA from 2 species
UUUAACCCUAAUAUGAAUAAAAUCUCAUAUUA